rnacentral:lncRNA from 1 species
AGGGCAGUUCUCGCUCUGCCGGAGCGCACCAACGUAUUCCAGGUCCCCUGCCACGCCCGGAAGAACUCCUUAGCGUCCCUGUUCCUCUCCAAGAGGAGGUGGAAUGGAAGAUCGUAGGGUGUGGCUGGCGGAAGAGCCGAUCGCCCAGAGUCCGCGACGCUCUUGGGCGGCCCCGGUGCCCGGGAGGCCUGAGGGCUUGAGCUGGAGGCGGGUGCGGCGCGGUCUGCAGCGCCUCCCGCCGGUCCUCUUGCAGUAACGCGGCCGCAGGAGGGAGAGCCUAGACCCAAGCCCUAGACUGACUCUUGUACGGGAUUUCUCAUUUUGACUCUCAUCAGUACUUGGUUUGGGGCUCCUGAAACUUGAUUCCCAGGCCUCUUCUUGGCGGAUGAAUACUGGGAGGUCGUACGAUCAUUUCAGAGAAGGAGUGGGUGGGCUGCAGACGAGGACAGGGUUCUGGGUUUGUUUCUUAUCGUUUUGGUACCAAGGAUUAAAGACAGGAUUUUGUGCAUGCUACGUAGGUCUUGGACAGCAGAGCUACAACCCCCCUCAUUUACCUUCCCACAGAGAAGAAAUCCGACUGCCCAGGUGGGAUACUGUCACCUGUGGCUGUAAACUCAACUGUCUUCUCUCUGAACUUCAUUUCCUCGUUGCAAAAUAGUAAUGAUCUUAUCUGCUUCCCAAGUAAGAAAUGCAAAGCCCCUAGCUGUGACAUCAGCUGUCAGGGCCCAAGAGCAACAGUACUACACACACACACACACACACACACACACACACACACACACACACACACACACAAAACAGGUGCAAAGAGAGACUUUACUCCUCACACAGUCAACCAGCAGAUCCAGGGUCCUUUUUUGACAACACAUAGCAGAUGCUCAGCGGUCUAUAGAUCUUUGCCUGUGGCAGUCAUGUUUGCUCACUCAGGCAGCUUGCAAUGCAGAAAACUAGGUUUUUAAGUGGAGUUGGGGCGGUGGCUUAUAUGCUGCAGCUCCUGUAAUAAGGUCAGAGUACAACUUAAUUUUCCCCAUUUCUUUCCUUAUUUAGUGUGUGUGUGUCAUCUCAGACAACGUGUGCUACUGUGUUCUCAGACACUUAAGAGGGAAGAAAGUACCCACUAAGCCACAUCUCAGCCCAUGUAGGAAGCUCGGACUACUGGGACCAUGUGCUCUCAUUUCUCCUUAACACCUCUCCCACACACAUCUCACAUUCUUUCUGAAGUGAUCGUGUUAGAAAGUGUUAGUGUACACAGACUUACCAGUUGCCAGAGGUCUUUAUCCUAUAACUUCCCUUGGACCCAGUACAGCAGGCACAUCUCUCAGGGUGAGUUACUAGUUCCCGCUGGAAUGGAGCAGUGUGCAGAUUUGGUGGAUUGGGGAGAGCUUGCCUUCACGCCCUUUCCCAGACUUUGACUUUAUCAGAGGAUACCUCCUGGGACACCUGCCACUUGUGUGCUCUCGCUAAAGGUUGGCACUUUGCCUAGAGAGGGGGGAAUGGGUCUUCUUGGACAUGUUCUUUUUCAGUCCUGUUCUGGGGCAUCUAAUUCAACAGUCAGCGUGAACGGAGACAAGAGUCACCAUGGAAAUCUAUUAGGAGUUUUUAUGUGUUUGUUUGCUUCUGCUUCUUUUCUAAAAGGGUCUCACAUACUCUGGACCUCACCCCCUCUUCUUUCACCUUCCAAAUUCUGGGACUGUAGGCGUGUAAGGCACAGGCAAGUGAAGUGUAACCUCACCAGACUGAUCUGUUGGGAUUUUUUUUUAGGGGGGUCUGUUUUGUUUUGGGUUUUCUGGUGCUCUCUGUACCAGAAGUAAAGGGCUAUGAUGAGAAGGGCAUUGGUACGGUGUUUGUAAUUAGUCCUACUGAGUAUGGUAGUCCGUGCUUGUUAUCCCAACACUCAGGAGGUUGAAGCAGGAGGAUUGAAAGUUAGAGGCCAGCAUGGGCUGUUUCCCCAAGACUCUGUCACAAAAAUUUUUUUUAAAGGCAAAACAGUUUAAACAAGAAGUAUAUGAGCACUGAUGUAAUAAUAUUCAUUUUUAGCAAAGCAAAAAUCCAAAUAUGGUAUUUUUGUGGAUUAUGAUAAGGUGUGAGGAAAAGAAAAUUCCUGUCUUCUCUAGCUCUUGAAAAUAUCCUCAUUCCCCUGUACUGGGGCAUAUAAUCUUCGCAAGACCAGGGGCCUCUCCUCCCAAUGAUGGCCAACUAGGCCAUCUUCUGCUACAUAUGCAGCUAGAGACGGGAGCUCUGGGGGCACUGGUUAUAACGUUCAUAUUGUUGUUCCUCCUAUAGGAUUGCAGACCCCUUCAGCUCCUUGGGUACCAUGUGGUUGCUGGGAUUUGAACUCAGUUCCUUUGGAAGAGCAGUCGGUGCUCUUAACCAUGGAGCCAUCUCUCCAGCCCAUCUUGUCAAAUAAGGAGGUCAGCCAGUCUCUCCUGCCUUCUGUUUUUCAUAACCCAUGCAUGCACCACAGUGGGGAACAAUCAUGGAGGAGGAGGGUUCCCAAGCUGCCCUUUGAGAAUAAAAUGGGAGGCCAGAACCAAAGUCUUUUGGAUAAAGCACCACAAAUGACUACACACGAACCCGUUUGACUGCCUUCCUUCCCAAGGCACGGAUCGUCCCGCAUGGGAAAGACCUCCCUCCCUCCCUUUUGACCCAUUUUCAUUCUUCCACCAUACACUCAAUAAAAUAAAAUAAAUAAAUGAAU